AUGGGGAUUAUGGCGCCGCUGGUGGCGUCCGGCGGCGUCGACUUCUACGUCAAGUCGAGGGUGCCCGGAUCUCAUCUUCUACAGAUCGACGGCUACUCGAUCGCUAAACAAGCAACCAACGGCACCAGCUUCAAGUCCUGCCCUUUCACCGUGGGAGGCUACCGUUGGGCCAUCUACCUCUUCCCCAACGGCGACUGGCUGGACAGCGCCGACUUCAUCUCCGUCUUGCUCGCCCUCGACGAGCACGUUAAAGGGCCCAUCAGGGUACAUCUUGAGUUCAGCUUCAUGGACGAGGUCGAGAAGCAGGAUCCCAGGCAUGUUUGCACCAGGCAGGUAGUUGACCUGCAUGGCGGUUACGCCGUGGGCUACCGCAGGUUUAUCGCAAGGGAGGCCAUGGAGAACUCGAAGCAUCUCAAAGGCGACCGCUUCACUAUUCGGUGCGACCUCUUCGUCCUGAAGCACGUCAUUGUCCAGGAGAACCUCCACGCGAGCGGGCAUAGAAAAUGUGAGGCUUGCAACAUCCGAGUGGCGACGAUGGGAGGGCGAGUGCUCGUCCAUGCAUGUUUCUGCGACGUCUGCAACCAUGCUAGCCGCAACGACGCUGCGGCGAAGCAGUGCGCAGGCUGCCAUGGACCCUAUGAAGGGUUCUUCCUGCCACUCCUUUCUACAACAUCAAUUAGCUAG
rnacentral:rRNA from 1 species